UGGGGAAUAUUGGACAAUGGGGGAAACCCUGAUCCAGCAAUGCCGCGUGAGUGAAGAAGGCCUUAGGGUUGUAAAGCUCUUUCGCCCGCGAAGAUAAUGACGGUAGCGGGAGAAGAAGCCCCGGCUAGCUCCGUGCCAGCAGCCGCGGUAAUACGGAGGGGGCUAGCGUUGUUCGGAAUUACUGGGCGUAAAGCGUACGUAGGCGGAUGCGCAAGUUGGGGGUGAAAUCCCGGGGCUUAACCUCGGAAUUGCCCUCAAAACUGCACGUCUUGAGACCGAGAGAGGUAAGGGGAAUUCCUAGUGUAGAGGUGAAAUUCGUAGAUAUUAGGAAGAACACGAGUAGCGAAGGCGCCUUACUGGCUCGGUACUGACGCUGAGGUACGAAAGCGUGGGGAGCAAAC
rnacentral:rRNA from 1 species